GGGGACAUGGUGGAAUUGGCAGACACGCUAGAUUUAGGUUCUAGUGCCGAAAGGUGUGCAGGUUCAAGUCCUGUUGUCCCUA
rnacentral:tRNA from 1 species